rnacentral:rRNA from 1 species
CCUACGGGUGGCUGCAGUGGGGAAUAUUGCACAAUGGGGGAAACCCUGAUGCAGCGACGCCGCGUGAGUGAAGAAGUAUUUCGGUAUGUAAAGCUCUAUCAGCAGGGAAGAAGAAAGACGGUACCUGACUAAGAAGCCCCGGCUAACUACGUGCCAGCAGCCGCGGUAAUACGUAGGGGGCGAGCGUUAUCCGGAUUUACUGGGUGUAAAGGGAGCGUAGACGGCCAUGCAAGCCAGGAGUGAAAGCCCGGGGCCCAACCCCGGGACUGCUCUUGGAACUGCGUGGCUGGAGUGCAGGAGGGGCAGGCGGAAUUCCUGGUGUAGCGGUGAAAUGCGUAGAUAUCAGGAGGAACACCGGUGGCGAAGGCGGCCUGCUGGACUGCAACUGACGUUGAGGCUCGAAAGCGUGGGGAGCAAACAGGAUUAGAUACCCUAGUAGUCC